UAUUUUAUUUUCCUACAGAAACAAUAUACUAUAACUUUUUUUUUGUUUAUCUUUCCCCCAACAUUUCACAAACCCUCCUCCUGGAAAACAAAUCCUCCGCUGAAUCGCUAAUAUGGAACCACAAACCCCUCCGUUGAAUCCAUAAUCGAAGAACCUCAAACUCCUUCACCGUUCUCGUUCGUUCAAUCCGUCAAUAUCUCCGUCGUUCUUCUUCAAUUCCUCCACCGUUCUCCUUCAAAUCCUCCACCGUUUGUUCACAAAUCUGAUUUUCUCGACCGUUAUUCUCCUUUCAGAAGGAAGAACACUGUGAGAUGUUCAAUCUGCGUUCACUAAUCUUAUCCUGACUAAUCGUUCACUUUCUUGAUCAGGUUUGGCGGAUGGAAUGAACUCAAUGAUUCUUACAAGAUUCGAAUCACAUUGAAACUCUGGAUGAUAAACACUAGCCUUUUUGUGGGAAUGUCAAGUUAACUUGAUCAUAUGGAAGUGUUCUUAUGGAAGUGUAGGAACUGUGGUUUGAGUUUUUUUUGAGCUGCUUGAAUAUCACUUUCUUACUUAUUCGUGUCAUUUCAAUUCUGGUUCUUGUCCUAUUGUUUUUGUGGUCCAAUGCUCAUACCUUUCUUCAUAGGGACCUUUAAAAGGUUAAAGAUGCAAGAACUUGUAGCCAAGUUAGGGUAAAAAUUGAACUGUGAAAAAUGGUGGUGAUUGAAGAAAGUUGAAGGAAGGAAUAAGGACUAAGGAAGGAAAAGAAAAACACUUGAAGGACAUUAUGUACUUUUAGUGGCAUGGAUGUGAAAUAAAUCAGUGGAAUGGAAGUGAAGUAAAGUUUCCAGCAUGCUACUAGAUGGAAGAUAAGGUAACCGAAUAAGAAGGGUCAAACGAUGGUAGGCGUUUCUGAGUCUAGUUAACACUAAUUAAGGAUUAUGAAGCAACAUCACAUACUACGGAUAUUUAGAUAUUUUUUUAACUUAUUUUGACAUAGUGUUAUGUUUAACCACUCUACUAAUAUUUAUGUUUUAGUUUUUGAAGGUUUGGACUACCAUUAGUUUCUUUCAUUUGGAACUUUGUGUACUUGAAUUAAAUUUUUGAUGUAUGGAUCUUGUCACUAUUGAAUGAAUUAUAUAAAUGAGAUUAAGUUA